UACGUAGGUGGCAAGCGUUGUCCGGAUUUAUUGGGGCGUAAAGCGAGCGCAGGCGGUUCCUUAAGUCUGAUGUGAAAGCCCACGGCUCAACCGUGGAAGGUCAUUGGAAACUGGGGAACUUGAGUGCAGAAGAGGAGAGUGGAAUUCCAUGUGUAGCGGUGAAAUGCGUAGAUAUAUGGAGGAACACCAGUGGCGAAGGCGACUCUCUGGUCUGUAACUGACGCUGAGGCUCGAAAGCGUGGGGAGCAAACAGGAUUAGAUA
rnacentral:rRNA from 1 species